rnacentral:rRNA from 1 species
AUUGAACGCUGGCGGCAUGCCUUACACAUGCAAGUCGAACGGCAGCACGGGAGCUUGCUCCUGGUGGCGAGUGGCGAACGGGUGAGUAAUACAUCGGAACGUACCCAGGAGUGGGGGAUCACGUAGCGAGAGUUACGCUAAUACCGCAUAUUCUGUGAGCAGGAAAGCGGGGGAUCGCAAGACCUCGCGCUCUUGAAGCGGCCGAUGUCGGAUUAGCUAGUUGGUGAGGUAAAAGCUCACCAAGGCGACGAUCCGUAGCAGGUCUGAGAGGAUGAUCUGCCACACUGGGACUGAGACACGGCCCAGACUCCUACGGGAGGCAGCAGUGGGGAAUUUUGGACAAUGGGGGCAACCCUGAUCCAGCCAUGCCGCGUGAGUGAAGAAGGCCUUCGGGUUGUAAAGCUCUUUCGGCGGGGAAGAAAUGGCAACGGCUAAUAUCCGUUGUUGAUGACGGUACCCGCAUAAGAAGCACCGGCUAACUACGUGCCAGCAGCCGCGGUAACAC